UGCUAUGAGAACAAUUAGUGGCAGACGGGUGAGUAAUGCAUAGGAAUCUACCUAGUAGUAUAGGAUAGCCACUAGAAAUGGUGGGUAAUACUGUAUAAUCCCUGCGGGGGAAAGAUUUAUCGCUACAUGAUGAGCCUAUGUUAGAUUAGCUAGUUGGUGGGGUAAUGGCCUACCAAGGCAGUGAUCUAUAGCUGGUCUGAGAGGAUGAUCAGCCACACUGGAACUGAGACACGGUCCAGACUCCUACGGGAGGCAGCAGUGGGGAAUAUUGGACAAUGGGCGCAAGCCUGAUCCAGCUAUGCCGCGUGAGUGAGGAAGGCCUUAGGGUUGUAAAACUCUUUCAGUGGGGAAGAUAAUGACGGUACCCACAGAAGAAGUCCCGGCAAACUCCGUGCCAGCAGCCGCGGUAAUACGGAGGGGGCAAGCGUUGUUCGGAAUUAUUGGGCGUAAAGGGCAUGUAGGUGGUUUGGUAAGUUAAAGGUGAAAUGCCAGGGCUUAACCCUGGAGCUGCUUUUAAUACUGCCAGACUGG
rnacentral:rRNA from 1 species